rnacentral:rRNA from 1 species
AUUAGAGUUUGAUCCUGGUCAGAACGAACGCUGGCGGCGUGCCUAACACAUGCAAGUCGAACGCGAAAGAGGGCUUCGGUUCUCGAGUAGAGUGGCGCACGGGUGAGUAACGCGUAGGUAAUCUACCCUUAUGAUUGGGAUAACUGACCGAAAGGUCAGCUAAUACCGGAUAUACUUUAGGUUACGCGAGUGAUUUAGAGGAAAGGUGACCUCUGUUUACAAGUUGCCGUAUAGGGAUGAGCCUGCGUACCAUUAGCUAGUUGGUGUGGUAAUAGCGCACCAAGGCGACGAUGGUUAGCGGGUCUGAGAGGAUGAUCCCCCACACUGGUACUGAGACACGGACCAGACUCCUACGGGAGGCAGCAGUAAGGAAUAUUGGGCAAUGGACGCAAGUCUGACCCAGCCAUGCCGCGUGAAGGAUGAAUGUCCUAUGGAUUGUAAACUUCUUUUAUGCAGGAAAAACAUCCCGGUCGUGAACCGGGACUGAUGGUACUGUAUGAAUAAGCAUCGGCUAACUCCGUGCCAGCAGCCGCGGUAAUACGGAGGAUGCAAGCGUUAUCCGGAUUCAUUGGGUUUAAAGGGUGCGCAGGCGGAAUGAUAAGUCAGUGGUGAAAUCUCCCGGCUCAACCGGGAAACUGCCAUUGAUACUGUCGUUCUUGAGUACAGUUGAAGUGGGCGGAAUGUGUCAUGUAGCGGUGAAAUGCUUAGAUAUGACACAGAACACCGAUAGCGAAGGCAGCUCACUAAGCUGUAACUGACGCUCAUGCACGAAAGCGUGGGGAUCAAACAGGAUUAGAUACCCUGGUAGUCCACGCUGUAAACGAUGAUCACUCGUUGUUGGCGAUAUACUGUCAGCGACUGAGCGAAAGCAUUAAGUGAUCCACCUGGGGAGUACGGCGGCAACGUUGAAACUCAAAGGAAUUGACGGGGGCCCGCACAAGCGGAGGAGCAUGUGGUUUAAUUCGAUGAUACGCGAGGAACCUUACCUGGGCUUAAAUGUAGGACGACGUAUGCCGAAAGGCGUAUUUCCUUCGGGACGUCUUACAAGGUGCUGCAUGGUUGUCGUCAGCUCGUGCCGUGAGGUGUCGGGUUAAGUCCCAUAACGAGCGCAACCCUUAUCAUUAGUUGCCAUCAGGUAAUGCUGGGAACUCUAAUGAAACUGCCUACGCAAGUAGUGAGGAAGGUGGGGAUGACGUCAAAUCAGCACGGCCCUUAUGUCCAGGGCGACACACGUGCUACAAUGGCCAGUACAGAGGGUUGCUACCUGGUGACAGGAUGCUAAUCUCGAAAGCUGGUCUCAGUUCGGAUUGAAGUCUGCAACUCGACUUCAUGAAGUUGGAUUCGCUAGUAAUCGCGCAUCAGCCAUGGCGCGGUGAAUACGUUCCCGGGCCUUGUACACACCGCCCGUCAAGCCAUGGGAGUUGGGGGUACCUAAAGUCCGUAACCGCAAGGGGCGGCCUAGGGUAAAACCAAUGACUGGGGUGAAGUCGUAACAAGGUAGCCGUAAAU